GGUUCCUUCAAUUCGAAUGGAUCAAGCGAUCGAGCAAUAGUGGUAUUGCGGGCUGCCCCAACAAGCCAUAGCUGUUGACCCCAUUUCCUGAUCCUGUAAGUGAUGCUGGAGAAAGGUACCAAGAGGCACACAUUACAUCGAGGGGCAUAAUUGAGCGAGCCUUUGGUGUACUUAAAAGCCGGUUCAGAUGUUUAGACAAGUCCGGCGGUGCCCUUUUGUAUUCGCCUGCAAAGGUUUGCGGCAUAAUUAAUGCCUGUUGCAUCCAACAUUACAUUUGUGUCGCAAUCCGUUUGCUGGUUAUUCUUCGUCACACACGGGGAUCUUUCUACAGCAUCGACUGCGGGCAUGGAUGAAGGAGCAGAAGCAAGGUCGCAUCUGAUCUGCGCCUUUUUUUCAACUUUUUCAUAGUUAUGCCCAGUUGGCACCACGUUGAUACAGUUUAUGGUUUUUAGUUUGAUUUGCAAGAUGUUUUGUCCGUUUCCCUUUGAUGGUUUCAAGAAGGUUACCCGGGUUGCCCUACUCCCCUUCUGCCCUGUUGGCCUACUUGUGAUGUGCCCCCCCCUCCACUGCGGCGUGUCAAGGACAACCCUUUAGGUUUCUCUUGGAUGUUCUUUGAAGUCCUGCGACACAUGUACAGCUGAUUGUGGUGCUGACUAUCCCGCCUUCGACCCUCACGGCUUACUUGUGAUGUGGACCCCCCACUGCACUGUGACAAGGACAACCC